rnacentral:rRNA from 1 species
UACGUAGGGGGCUAGCGUUGUCCGGAUUUAUUGGGCGUAAAGAGCGUGUAGGCGGCCAGGUAGGUCUGCUGUGAAAACUCGAGGCUCAACCUCGAGACGUCGGCGGAAACCAUCUGGCUAGAGUCCGGAAGAGGAGAGUGGAAUUCCUAGUGUAGAGGUGAAAUUCGUAGAUAUUGGGAAGAACACCGGUGGCGAAGGCGGCCCACUGGCUCGAUACUGACGCUGAGGUGCGAAAGCGUGGGGAGCAAACAGG